UACAGAGGGUGCAAACGUUGCUCGGAAUUAUUGGGCGUAAAGCGCGUGCAGGCGGCCUGUUAAGUCGACUGUGAAAGCCCUUGGCUCAACCAAGGAAGUGCAGUCGAAACUGGCAGGCUUGAGUCCCGAAGAGGGUGGCGGAAUGCCAAGUGUAGAGGUGAAAUCGUAGAUAUUUGGUAGAACACCAGUGGCGAAGGCGGCCACCUGGGAGGCGACUGACGCUGAGACGCGAAAGCGUGGGGAGCAAACAGG
rnacentral:rRNA from 1 species